CGACCGCGGAGAGUCAUGGCCGGACAAGCAUUUAGGAAGUUCAUGCCUCUGUUUGACCGAGUGCUGGUCGAAAGGAGUGCAGCUGAAACUGUGACCAAAGGAGGCAUUAUGCUUCCAGAAAAGUCUCAAGGAAAAGUAUUGCAAGCCACAGUAGUGGCUGUGGGCUCGGGCUCUAAAGGAAAAGGUGAAGAGAUUCAGCCAGUUAGUGUGAAAGUGGGUGAUAAAGUUCUUCUCCCAGAAUAUGGAGGCACCAAAGUAGUUCUAGAUGACAAAGAUUAUUUCUUAUUUAGGGAUGGUGACAUUCUUGGGAAGUAUGUAGAGUGAAUACAUCACUAAAAUGGCAUCCUGUGAAGCUGCCCAUUCCAUGGAAGUUCUGAGAUCUUUCAUCAUGUAAAUAAUUUCCAUAUCUCCCUUUUAUAAUAAACUGAUGGUAACUAA